UAGGGAAUCUUCCGCAAUGGGCGAAAGCCUGACGGAGCAACGCCGCGUGAGUGAUGAAGGUCUUCGGAUCGUAAAACUCUGUUAUUAGGGAAGAACAAAUGUGUAAGUAACUAUGCACGUCUUGACGUUACCUAAUCAGAAAGCCACGGCUAACUACGUGCCAGCAGCCGCGGUAAUACGUAGGUGGCAAGCGUUAUCCGGAAUUAUUGGGCGUAAAGCGCGCGUAGGCGGUUUUUUAAGUCUGAUGUGAAAGCCCACGGCUCAACCGUGGAGGGUCGUUGGAAACUGGAAAACUUGAGUGCAGAAGAGGAAAGUGGAAUUCCAUGUGUAGCGGUGAAAUGCGCAGAGAUAUGGAGGAACACCAGUGGCGAAGGCGACUUUCUGGUCUGUAACUGACGCUGAUGUGCGAAAGCGUGGGGAUCAAACAGG
rnacentral:rRNA from 1 species